UUAAUCAUCAGUGGCUUGAGCUUCGACAACACCUGUGUCGCAUUGGGAUGCGCUGAGAUUGGGAAAGGUGCUACAUAAAUGCAAGUUAUUUCUUUCCUGCUUAAAGUGAAAGCGGAGCGAAAGUUUGCUGUGGCCCUACGCCGGGGAACAAACGCAGCCUCCACGAGUGGGUGGAUACAAAGCCGUAGUGUCAUUUCAGAUUGAGCGCUCACGGCUCCAGCGAUUCAGUGAUAAACCAUUCACGCACAUUAAGCAGUGAGGCUGCUCAGGGGAUUCACUAAGGCUCCUGUGAGCCAAGUACUGCAUGAAAGUUCAAGAUUACCAUGUCUUCACAGUGUCUCUCCUACAUUCAACCAAUUGUGGAAAAUUCGAUGUUAGUUCACUCGUGAAUGGCUUGUGUCAGGUUCAGGUGACUCAAAACACUCGAGAGGCCGGAUUUCGAUAGCUGUUCAUGUGCAGGGUUUUUUUUCAAAAAAGAGUUUGAAUGUUGCACCAUCUUGAGGAGAAGCUGAUUUGGGCAUUCCGGACACCACAGUCCCCAAAUGGGAUCUUCCAUGAAGUUCAAAGGAGCAACAAAAUGCAGAGAGAUUGUUGGAUAUUCCUCCCCAUCGGACAUUCAUUCCAGAUCAGGUUAGAAAUCCUAACAGGAACUAUAACCGUUGCCUGGAAUUGAGGCUUGGUGCACAAUGACAUGGAUGAUUGAAGCAUGAGAUGUGACCUUGAAUGUCCCAGGAAAAGCUGGUCAAUUUUCGACUAUUCUUCUCAAAGUGACAGGCAAAAAUCUUUGAGCAUUUCUUUAAAAAAGCUGCUUCAUAGUGAGAAGAAUGUCAAGGUACAAUCUCCUAA